AACUCCCGGCCUUCCCAAAAGAUGUCAGGAGGGCUGAUGAUGUGGCAGCAGGGGAGCGCAGCGCUGGCCGUGCGGGAAGGAGCGCGCGCCGCAGCCCGCGGGAGGGGGACGGGGACAGCCGCCCCCGGGGGGGACACCCGCCCCUCCGCCAGGCCCCGCAGCUUCAGAUGCACCAGGAGUGUUAUCAAACAUUAUGAAACAAUGAUAGAAGGAUCAUCAGCUGGAGGAGAUGCUGACUUUUCAGAAGCUGAGAUCUUUCAGAGUCACUGGGACUCAUGACACAACCUGUUGCUGUCACCAUCUCACCCAGACACAGAAUCCCGCAGCAGGAAAGGAAGAGCACCAGUCAACAGAACAGGCUGUGGACUGACAGAAGCUUCUGCUGAGAAGGGCCUGGGAGGUCCUUGUGGAUGCUAAGCUUCCAUGAGCCAGCAGUCUGAAAGGCCAAGAGCAUCCUGGGCUAUAUCAAGAGGAGCACAGCAAGCAAAUCAAGGUAAGUGAC